GACGAACGCUGGCGGCGUGCUUAACACAUGCAAGUCGAACGGAAAGGCCCUGCUUUUGUGGGGUGCUCGAGUGGCGAACGGGUGAGUAACACGUGAGUAACCUGCCCUUGACUUUGGGAUAACUUCAGGAAACUGGGGCUAAUACCGGAUAGGAGCUCCUGCUGCAUGGUGGGGGUUGGAAAGUUUCGGCGGUUGGGGAUGGACUCGCGGCUUAUCAGCUUGUUGGUGGGGUAGUGGCUUACCAAGGCUUUGACGGGUAGCUGGCCUGAGAGGGUGACCGGACAAACUGGGACUGAGCUGCGGCCCAGACUCGUACGGGAGGGAGCAGUGGGGAAUGUUGCAUUAGGGGCGGAAGCCUGAUGUAGCAACGCCGCGCGCGGGAUGAGGGCCAUCGGUUUGUAAUGCGAUGCCGCUUGUGACGAAGCGUGAGUGACGGUAAUGGGUAAAGAAGCACCGGCUAACUACGUG
rnacentral:rRNA from 1 species